UACAAUGAAAGUAAACGGGCAAAAUUUAAAACUUCACAAAAUCACCCAUCACUUAUGUAACUUAUGUAUGACCUGAAUACCCUUUUCCCCAAAAGAUCUCAACCCCGUACGAGUCAUCUUCUAUCCGUAACCGCCUUCUGCCGCCGGCCACCGAUUUUGGGGAUAGGAGGAUCGUAGGGUUUGUGGUUUGGGGAAUAUAUGGCUGAUCGUAACUUGGCGGUGGUGAAGCCAAUAUGGAUGAAGCAAGCAGAAGAGGCAAAAAUAAAGAGCGAUGCUGAGAAAGACGCUGCAGCAAAGGCGGCUUUCGAGGCUACCUUCAAAGACGUUGAGAACAAUCGAGAGCCUGCUGCUUUGUCGGAUAGUGAUGGCGAUGAAGAAGAGGAUUUGAGUAACAAGCCUAUUGGACCGGUGGAACCGUCGAAGAGCACGGCUGCUGGGACUGGUGUUGCUGGAGGAACUGCGUGUGCACCGUCUUCGUUUGUGGUUGUUACGAAGGAUGCAGAUGGUCGUAAAGUACCCAACGGUGGAGCCCAGGUUAAGGUGAAGGUUUCGCCUGGUGUCGGUGUUGGCGGGUCUGAACAAGAAGGUAUUGUUAAGGAUAUGGGUGAUGGGACCUACACUGUUACUUAUGUGGUUCCGAAGAGAGGGAAUUACAUGCUGGAUGUUGAGUGUGAUGGGAAGCCUAUUAUGGGAAGCCCGUUUCCAGUUUUCUUCAGUGCAGGCACAACUACAGGAGGGCUUAUGGGUUUUGCCCCACAAUUGAAUUACCCGAAUAUGGUUAACCAAACUAUGCCAAACAUGCCGAAUUACUCGGGUUCCGUUUCAGGGGCGUUUCCCGGACUGCUCGGUAUAAUUCCGGGUAUUGUUCCUAGUGCUUCGGGUGGGGUUGUUUUGCCCGGUAUUGGAGCAUCACUUGGGGAAGUUUGCAGAGAAUACUUGAACGGACGAUGUGUAAAAACGGAUUGCAAGUUCAAUCAUCCACCGCACAGUCUGCUGAUGACUGCUUUGGCUUCCACAAGCACCAUGGGUACUCUUAGUCAAGCGCCAAUGGCACCGUCUGCUGCUGCAAUGGCAGCUGCUCAGGCCAUUGUUGCCGCUCAAGCACUUCAAGCGCAUGCUUCCAGUGCACAAGCCCAGUCGUCUAAAGACGCGUCUGGACCAGAAGAUAAGGCAGCAAAGGCUGAUUCUUUAAAGAAAACUCUACAAAUUAGUAAUCUCAGCCCACUGCUUACCGUAGAUCAACUAAAACAGAUUUUUGGUUUUUGUGGUACAGUUGUCGAGUGUAGUAUCACAGAUUCAAAGCAUUUUGCUUACAUAGAAUAUUCAAAACCCGAAGAAGCAACAGCUGCACUUGCGUUAAACAACAUGGAUGUUUUAGGUCGUCCAUUGAAUGUCGAAAUGGCAAAAUCGUUACCUCAGAAACCUGCCAGUAAUUCCGCUCUUAAUUCUUCUUUGCCAAUGGUGAUGCAGCAGGCUGUUGCAAUGCAACAAAUGCAAUUUCAACAGGCUCUUUUAAUGCAGCAAACCAUGAACGCACAGCAGGCAGCUAAUCGAGCUGCAACUAUGAAGACCGCAACAGAAUUGGCUGCUGCUAGAGCUGCAGAAAUAAGUAUGAAAUUAAAAGCUGAAGGGAUUAUCGGAAAUGAUGAUGAACCAGUUAAAACUCUCAGGUCACCUUCACCGGUCCCUGCAAGGUCAAGAUCCAAAUCGAAGUCUCCCAUAAGCUAUAAUAGAAGGCGUAGGUCCCGCUCUUUUUCUCCACAUCAUCGCGUGAGGGGUUAUAGAUCCAGGUCACCUAUAAGAUCUCGCCAUUACUCUAGUUAUGAAUAUGACAGACGGUCUUUUCGGGAUUACAGGGGCGGUAGUGAUAGAAGUAGAAGAGGUGAUUACGGCAGAUCAAACGAUCGACACUCGUAUAGGAACCGAAGCAGGAGUGUGAGCCCUGUUACCAGAAAAUCAUACCGUGAUGGGUCAGGAUCUCCGAAACGUCGUCAUGAAAGCCCAGCCCAUAGGUCAAAGAAAUCUUCUCGUGGCGGUUCUAGAUCCCCUGUAAGUCAUCGUGAUGAUCAGAGUAAAGAAAAACACAGAAGACGGUCCAGGUCAGCGUCUUUGGAAGUUAAACAUCGAUCAAGUGAUAAAACAGAUCACAGUAGGGAGGAAAAGGAAAAGUCAAAACGUCGUGAUCGGAGAAGGUCAAGGUCAAAAUCGUUAGAAAUUAAGCAUGGUUCUGGUGACAAAUCGGGUGACACAAAACAUAGGGACCGUAGACGGUCCAGGUCAGCAUCAGCAGAUGAAAAGCAUCAUAGAAGUUUGGAUGGAGGUAAAUCAAAACAUAGGAGACGGUCCAGGAGUAGGAGUCCAGAAGAUAACCACCGUUCGAGCGGUAAAACUGAUAGAAACAGGAAGGAGAAGUCAAGGUCAAAGUAUCAUAGUAGAAGGCAAUCCAGGUCAGCAUCUCCCGAAGUCAAACGUCACAAAGAAAGUAGAAAAUCUCCUGGAUGCUCUGAUGAACAUAAACCAAAACACAGAAGACGGUCAAGAUCAAGGUCAAGGUCAAGGUCAAAAUCAGCUGAACGUAAUCAAUUGAACAAUCGUGACGAUGGGUCUGGUCCCGAAGUCAAACGUCACAAAGAAAGUAGAAAAUCUCCUGGACGCUCUGAUGAACAUAAACCAAAACACAGAAGACGGUCAAGAUCAAGGUCAAGGUCAAGGUCAAAAUCAGCUGAACGUGAUCAAUUGAACAAUCGUGACGAUGUGUCUGGUGAUGCUAAUUAUAAUGAAAAUCGUUUGAAGGAUAUUAAGGAUGAUGCUGAUUUUAAAUCCGAAGUUUAUAGAAAUGUUGAGAGGGAUGAUGAAACAGCCGAGGAUGUGUAAUGAUGUACCAAUGGGAUAAUGCAAGCUGGACGGAAGAUUCAUGGGAUUUCUGUUUAAACCUUUGGGCUCUGUAGAAUAAAUGUGUUGUUUGUUUCUUUUGCAGGUUCGAUGGGAUUAUGCCGGAUUCACACUUUCUGCUGAUUUUAAUUGGUUAAAAUGUUUGAAGAACUUUUCUGCAACCCUAACUGGAGUAUGUUUUUAGCGACUUAAUCAACUUAAUGUUGCUGGAUGGUUUCUUUUGGCGGUUUAUCGGAUCCAUUUGGCAGGUUUUUUCUUUAUAUUAAAGGUCUCGGGUUAUAUAAGACCGACUUCAACCAGAUGUAGCCGAGUUGACUAGCAUCACCAGAUCUUGGAUAUGCUAAUUGGCAGGUAAUAGUUCUUUGGACAUUAUAGUUACUUUUAAGAAAUAAUGUUAAUUUAUAGGUAGUAUAGUCUGUCACCAACUAUUGGAGGGUGAUUAAGUUUAGCUAGACAUCAUUUACUUGCUAUUAUACCCCACAACAGCCUGUGCUGAUGUCUCCUUACAAAAAUAACAUAUUUUUUAUAUGGAUUUAACAUUUAGUUUUUUUAGUUUAAAUUUGAUUUGAGUAACAGGAUAGAAUAGAAUAACGAGUCACAGGGAACCAGUGUUGUUCCCCAAUCUAUUAUCUCCCUACAAUUGGUUUAAUAGCAAACAAGUCCCCAAUGGAGUGCGAGAGGGCGUUCUUAGGGGGUGUGAAUUUCUGGCACAACACGGAAACACCACUCUAAACGGGUUUGGGUCAGUUUCAAGUCGAACCCUCGAACGUUGUGUUUUAGAUGUGAUAGAAAUGUUGGACUAGAAGACCUUUAAGCUUGAGAUGUUGAACCUGAUCCUGUUAAAGUUGUCUUUCGUUGUUUGUCACAUUGGAUGAUUGUUGUCUUUAUUUCUUUAUAUAUUUUUUUCGAACGGCGAAUUUCUUUAAUUUUGUUAUGUGCGGUA